rnacentral:rRNA from 1 species
AGAGUUUGAUCCUGGCUCAGGAUGAACGCUAGCUACAGGCUUAACACAUGCAAGUCGAGGGGCAGCAUGUUGGUUGCUUGCAACCAACGAUGGCGACCGGCGCACGGGUGAGUAACGCGUAUCCAACCUACCCUUGUCCAUCGGAUAACCCGUCGAAAGGCGGCCUAACACGAUAUGCGGUUCACAGCAGGCAUCUAACGUGAACGAAAUGUAAAGGAGAAGGAUGGGGAUGCGUCUGAUUAGCUUGUUGGCGGGGUAACGGGCCACCAAGGCUACGGAUCAGUAGGGGUUCUGAGAGGAGGUCCCCCACGAUUGGAACUGAGACACGGUCCAAACUCCUACGGGAGGCA